rnacentral:ncRNA from 1 species
UAUCUGAUUGAUUCUGUCAGCGCUAUAUGCUUACGUAAAAGACUAAGCCAUGCAUGUACUGUUCAACUAACGGUGAAACUGCGAACGGCUCAUUAGAGCAGAUAUCAUUUAUUCGGUAAUAUUUUUGGAUAACUGCGGUAAUUCUGGAGCUAAUACAUGCAUCAAUGCCCCAACUUCGGAAGGGGUGCAAUUAUUAGAACAGACCAAUCGUCCUUGGACGUAGUUUGUUGACUCUGAAUAACGCAGCAUAUCGGCGGCUAGUCCGCUGAUAAUCCGAGAAAGUGUCUGCCCUAUCAACCUGAUGGUAGUCUAUUAGUCUACCAUGGUUAUCACGGGUAACGGAGAAUAAGGGUUCGACUCCGGAGAGGGAGCCUUAGA